AAUCAACGCUGGCGGCGUGCCUCAGACAUGCAAGUCGAACGAUUAAAGCUCUCUUCGGAGAGUGCAUAGAGUGGCGCACGGGUGAGUAACACGUAAGUAAUCUACCUUCGAGUGGGGAAUAACGUCCGGAAACGGACGCUAAUACCGCAUAAUGCAGCGGCAUCGCAAGAUGACAGUUGUUAAAGGAGCAAUUCGCUUGAAGAGGAGCUUGCGGCAGAUUAGCUUGUUGGUAAGGUAACGGCUUACCAAGGCUACGAUCUGUAACCGGUCUAAGAGGACGGUCGGUCACACUGACACUGAAUAAC
rnacentral:rRNA from 1 species